AACGCACGAGACCUGCGGACCUGCGGAAGGAUCAUUACCGAGUUAUCAACUCCCAAACCCCUGUGAACAUACCCGAACGUUGCCUCGGCGGGACCGCCCCGGCGCCCCUAGCGGCCCGGAACCAGGCGCCCGCCGGAGGACCCAAACUCUUGCUUUAAACAGUGGCAUACUCUCUGAGUCUCACAAACAAAAAAUAAAUCAAAACUUUCAGCAACGGAUCUCUAGAUCGGAAGAGCACAC
rnacentral:misc_RNA from 1 species